rnacentral:rRNA from 1 species
UACGGGGGGAGCAAGCGUUGUUCGGAUUUACUGGGCGUAAAGGGCGCGUAGGCGGCCUCCGCAAGUCAGUUGUGAAAUCUCCGAGCUUAACUCGGAAAGGUCAACGGAUACUGCGGGGCUAGAGUGCGGAAGGGGCAACUGGAAUUCUCGGUGUAGCGGUGAAAUGCGUAGAUAUCGAGAGGAACACCUGCGGCGAAGGCGGGUUGCUGGGCUGAUACUGACGCUGAGGCGCGAAAGCCAGGGGAGCGAACGGG